AAGGCUUUAAGUUAAAAAAACUAAUAGCCUUCAAAGCUAUAAAUAUAAGGAAUAAUCUUUUAAGCCUUA
rnacentral:tRNA from 1 species